AGCGAACGCUGGCGGCAGGCUUAACACAUGCAAGUCGAGCGGGCCCUUCGGGGUCAGCGGCGGACGGGUGAGUAACGCGUGGGAACGUGCCUUCUGGUUCGGAAUAACUCAGGGAUACUUGAGCUAAUACCGGAUACGCCCUUUUGGGGAAAGGUUUACUGCCGGAAGAUCGGCCCGCGUCUGAUUAGCUAGUUGGUGGGGUAACGGCCUACCAAGGCGACGAUCAGUAGCUGGUCUGAGAGGAUGAUCAGCCACACUGGGACUGAGACACGGCCCAGACUCCUACGGGAGGCAGCAGUGGGGAAUAUUGGACAAUGGGCGCAAGCCUGAUCCAGCCAUGCCGCGUGAGUGAUGAAGGCCUUAGGGUUGUAAAGCUCUUUUAUCCGGGACGAUAAUGACGGUACCGGAGGAAUAAGCCCCGGCUAACUUCGUG
rnacentral:rRNA from 1 species